GACGAACGCUGGCGGCGUGCUUAACACAUGCAAGUCGAACGGAGUGGCGAACGGGGGAGUAACACGUGGGUGACCUGCCCUGCACUUCGGGAGAAGCCUGGGAAACUGGGUCUAAUACCGGAUAGUGUGGGAUGGGCCCGCGGCCUAUCAGCUUGUUGGCGGGGUAAUGGCCUACGAAGGCGGGGACGGGUAGCCGGCCUGAGAGGGUGGGCGGCCACAUUGGGACAGAGACACGGCCCAGACACCUACGGGGGGCAGCAGUGAGGAAUAGUGCACCAUGUGCGGAGGCGUGAUGCAGCGACGCCGGGUGGGGGAGUACGGCCUUCGGGUUGUAAGCUCCCUUCGCCAUCGACGCGGUAGAUGGAGAAGAGGCACCGGCUAACUACGUGCAAGCAGCCGCGGUAAAC
rnacentral:rRNA from 1 species